CAGCCGCCGCGGGAAUACGUAGGUGGCGAGCGUUGUCCGGAAUUAUUGGGCGUAAAGGGAGCGCAGGCGGACAUAUAAGUCCAUCUUAAAAGUGCGGGGCUCAACCCCGUGAGGGGAUGGAAACUGUAUGCCUUGAGUGCAGGAGAGGAAAGCGGAAUUCCCAGUGUAGCGGUGAAAUGCGUAGAUAUUAGGAGGAAUACCAGUGGCGAAGGCGACUUUCUGGACUGCAACUGACACUGAGGCACGAAAGCGUGGGGAGCAAACAGGAUUAGAUACCCCUGUAGUCCCUGUCUCUUAUACA
rnacentral:rRNA from 1 species